rnacentral:rRNA from 1 species
GUAGGGGGCAAGCGUUGUCCGGAUUUAUUGGGCGUAAAGAGCGUGUAGGCGGCUUGGUAGGUCCGUUGUGAAAACUCGAGGCUCAACCUCGAGACGCCGAUGGAAACCAUCAAGCUAGAGUCCGGAAGAGGAGAGUGGAAUUCCUGGUGUAGCGGUGAAAUGCGCAGAUAUCAGGAAGAACACCCGUGGCUAAGGCGGCUCUCUAGUACGGUACUGACGCUGAGACGCGAAAGCGUGGGGAGCGAACAGGAUUAGAUACCCUGGUAGUCCACGCCGUAAACGAUGGGUGCUAGGUGUAGGGGGNGUCGACUCCCUCUGUGCCGAAGCUAACGCAUUAAGCACCCCGCCUGGGGAGUACGGCCGCAAGGCUA